AACAUGCGAUGCCGAAGUUAAUUGACUAAUAAAUUGAAAUUCGUUUUAUAACUUUUAACAUUCAAUUUGGUAAUAUGUCCCUUAGGCGUCUGUUAAAUACCCAAUACUACAAUAUGUGCGAUGUGUUUUUUUAUGUUAUAUCUCAACACUGUUUUUAUACUCUCGUAACAAAGUUGCUAAGGAGAGUAUUAUAGUUUUGUUCACAUAACGGUUGUUUGUAAGUCCUAAAACUAAAAGAGUUAGAUAUAGGAUUAUAUAUACCAAAGUGAUCAGGGUGACGAGUAGAGUUUAAACCCGGAUGUCUGUCCGUCCGUCCGUCUGUCCGUCCGUCCGUGCAAGCUGUAACUUGAGUAAAAAUUGAGAUAUGAUGAAACUUGGUGCACGUAUUUCUUGGCUCCGUAAGAAGGUUAGGUUCGAAGAUGGGGAAAAUCGGCCCACUGCCACGCCCACAAAAUGGCGAAAACCGAAAACCUAUAAAGUGUCAACUAAGCUAUAAAUAAAGAUAAUAAAAUGAAAAUUGGCACAAAGGAUCGCUUUAGGGAGCAUAUUUGGACGUAAUUUUUUUGGAAAAGUGGUCGUGGCCCCGCCCCCUACUAAGUUUUUUGUACAUAUCUCGGAAACUACUACAGCUAUGUCAACCAAACUCUAUAGAGUCGUUUCCUUCAGGCAUUUCCAUAUACAGUUCAAAAAUUGAAAUCGGAUAAUAACCUCGCCCACCUCCCAUACAAAGGUUAUGUUGAAAAUCACUAAAGUUGCGUUAACCGACUAACAAAAAACGUCAGAAACACUAAAUUUUACGGGAGAAAUGGCAGAAGAAAGCUGCACCCAUGCUUUUUUUAAAUUUAAAAUGGGCGUGGCGUCGCCCACUUAUGGACCAAAAACCAUAUCUCGGGAACUACUCUACCGAUUUCAAUGAAAUUCAGUAUAUAAUAUUUUCUUAACACUCUGAUGACAUCUACGAAAUCGGUUCACAACCACGCCUUCUUCCAAUAUAACGCUAUUUUGAAUUCCAUCUGAUGCCCUCCUCUGUAUAAUAUAUACAUUAGGAAAUGAAAAUACAAUUCAAUACUCAAAGUACACAAAUUGAUCUAAUCUAAUUAAUUUUACAGCAAAAUAAGAAAAUAUGUAAAUGACGGAUAAUGAAAUCUCGAUUAUCACUUUAUCAUGCGAGACUAUAAAAUGUUCGGUGACACCCGAACUUAGCACUUUCUUACUUGUUUAUUUAUGGUAUCUUUCUUAAAGUAUUAUGUUUAUAAAAAGUAUAUCGAAGAGCGUAAAAUAUAUUUGUUAAUAUCAGGAAUAUUAAAUUUAAAGCAAUUUAAACAAAUUUUGCCCAAUUGAUAAAUGUAUGAUUAUGCAAAAACGCAUUUUUUUAAAGAUAUUUUGUUAAAAAAAAUACCUGUACAUUAUUUACUCAUUUUUAUCUAUGUAUAUUCUGAGGAAACCUCAUCUGAUUUGUGAGGAAAAUAAAAACAGACCAAGCAAUAUUAAGAAAUGAACGCCCAAGAAAAUUGAGAUUUCGGAGUGUGAAAGAAAAACUUAAGAGCAGCUGCAGCACUACAGUAUAUUAAUAUACAGUAUGCAGUAUAUAUAAUAACACAAGUAUAUUUUUAUUCGCACAUGUAUUAAAUACAUUCAUACAUAUUUACAAAUAAAAUUUUGUACGAAUUACUUAAACAUACAUACA